GGCGAACGCUGGCGGCGUGCUUAACACAUGCAAGUCGAACGGAAAGGCCCUGCUUUUGUGGGGUGCUCGAGUGGCGAACGGGUGAGUAACACGUGAGUAACCUGCCCUUGACUUUGGGAUAACUUCAGGAAACUGGGGCUAAUACCGGAUAGGAGCUCCUGCUGCAUGGUGGGGGUUGGAAAGUUUCGGCGGUUGGGGAUGGACUCGCGGCUUAUCAGCUUGUUGGUGGGGUAGUGGCUUACCAAGGCUUUGACGGGUAGCCGGCCUGAGAGGGUGACCGGCCACAUUGGGACUGAGAUACGGCCCAGACUCAUACGGGAGGCAGCAGUGGGGAAUAUUGCACAAUGGGCGGAAGCCUGAUGCAGCAACGCCGCGUGCGGGAUGACGGCCUUCGGGUUGUAAACCGCUUUCGCCUGUGACGAAGCGUGAGUGACGGUAAUGGGUAAAGAAGCACCGGCUAACUACGUG
rnacentral:rRNA from 1 species